UAAAGAUCCCAUUAUCUGACUGUCACCACCAGCAAACAGCUGGAGUACAAUGGCACGAUCUUGGCUCACUGCGACCUCCACCUCCCAGGUUCAAGUGGUUCUCCUGCCUCAGCCUCCCUAGUAGCUGGGAUUACAGGUGCCUGCCACCACGCUCAGUAGAGACGGGGUUUCAUCAUGUUAGCCAGGAUGGUCUUGAUCUCCUGACCUCGUGAUCCGCCUGCCUCCCAAAGUGCUGGGAUUAUAGGCGUGAGCCACCACGC